rnacentral:rRNA from 1 species
ACUCCUACGGGAGGCAGCAGUGGGGAAUAUUGCACAAUGGGGAAACCCUGAUGCAGCCAUGCCGCGUGUGUGAAGAAGGCCUUCGGUUGUAAAGCACUUCAGUAGGGAGGAAGGUAGUGUAGUUAACACCUGCAUUAUUUGACGUUACCUACAGAAGAAGCACCGGCUAACUCCGUGCCAGCAGCCGCGGUAAUACGGAGGGGUGCGAGCGUUAAUCGGAAUUACUGGGCGUAAAGCGCAUGCAGGCGGCCUGUUAAGUCAGAUGUGAAAGCCCGGGGGCUUAACCUCGGAAUUGCAUUUGAAACUGGCAGGCUAGAGUCUUGUAGAGGGGGUAGAAUUUCAGGUGUAGCGGUGAAAUGCGUAGAGAUCUGAAGGAAUACCAGUGGCGAAGGCGGCCCCCUGGACAAAGACUGACGCUCAGAUGCGAAAGCGUGGGGAGCAAACAGGAUUAGAUACCCUGGUAGACUGUCA